UGUUCUUAUUUAGAUCUUUCUUAUACAAGGUAGCCUCUCCCUGAAUGCCCCAAACGGGCUCCAAAAUAGUGUACUGAACAUAAUCAACACUGGUGAUAAGGAUUCCAAUGUCUUUACAAAUGUAGGUGUGAGGACAAAGGUUUUGGCUGACAUGUUUCCCGAUAUUUUCAGAGACUAUUUUCCCUAAUACCUUUUUUUAAUUGAAGUAUAGUUGACAGACACUGUUACACUAAUUUCAGUAUACAAAUUCAGAUUGGACAAUUGUAGACACUAUGCUAUGCUCACUACCAUACGUGUAGUUACCCUCUGUCACCAUACAACAUUAAUACAAUAUUAUUGAGGAUAUUUCAUAUGCUGUAUUCUUCAUUCCUGUGACUUACCUAUUUUAUAACUGGAAUUUGUACCUCUUCCUCCUCUUCACCUAUUUUGUCCUUACCCUCUACCCACCUCCCCCCUACCAACCACCAAUGUGUCCUCUGUAGUUAUGAUUCUGUUUGUUGACUUGUUUAAUUUUUUUUAUAUUCCACAUGUAAGUGAAAUCAGAUGGUAUUUAUUUGUCUUUCUCCGAUUUAUUUCACCUAGCAUAAUACCCUCUAGGUCUAUCAAUGUUGUCACAAAUGGCAAGAUCUCAUUCUUUUUGAUGGCUGAGGUAUAUUUCAUUGUAUACAUAUUACACAUCUUCUUUAUCCAUUCAUCUAUCGAUGGACACUUAGGUUGCUUCCAUAUUUUGGUUAUUGCAAACAAUGUCUCAAUAAACAUAGGGAUGCACACAGCUUUUCAAAUUAGUGUUUUCAUUUUCUUUGGGUAAAUACGCAGUAGUGGAAUUAAUGAAUAUCUAUUUUUAAGUUUUUGAGGAACCAUAACACUUUUUUGACAAUACCAUUAUAUUCUGGCAGUAUAAAAUGAAUGGGACAACUUUACUAUACCAGACUUAUAAAAUUAAUAACUCAAUACCAGAUGAUGGGGGAAGGCUUUAUUCAAACAACUUUAUAUUACCAUUAAUAAAUACGAUAUAAAAUAUAAACCACGUUUUUUACAUGACAUGACUUAAGGAACUACCAAGGUAAUGUUGCAUCUUUUCCCCAAAAGCUCUUUUCCUAAAUAUUUACCUCUGUGACCUUUAUAUGUUUAUUUCUAGGUAAAAACUGUGUUUCGAUGGUGAAAAUAGCUUUCAAGUCCAUGAAUAAGGACACAUGUGUACUUUUAUGUAUACCUUUCCAUUUAUCAGAAAUAUAAGAGGGUGAGAAAAUUAUACACAGAAAAACUAUAUAUCAGCAAAUUUUAAUUCAAAGAACAUUUUUAAAGAAUUUUUAAUUAGAAGGAUUUUCUCAUUACUGUUAGCAUUCAAAUAUGGCCCAUAGAAAUCUAAGGUUCGGUUGAAGACACUGCAGGAUUGAGGGACAAGGAAGUCACAGCCAUAGUCUCCAUCUCUCCUUUAGUUAGACAGCUCUACUUCUCUCUGUUUUACACAAUACAGUUUAAUGCAAAAAAAAAUUACGUUCUAUUCUUUGAAAACAAAAUUAUUUUGAAGGUAUAAAAGUCACUAAUUUAGUCAAAAUCCCGAAUUUUGCGUAAUAGACAAAAAGGGCUCAGAGAGAGUGUACUUUGCCUGAGGUCAUGAAACCAACUAGAUGCAGACCAGGAAUACACUUCUGGUCUUACCAAGCCUAGAGUUCUAUGCCAGUUACUUCCUCAUAGUCAGAAAAAUAUGUAUAUUUUAAGUAUAACUCAGAGAAAAUGAAUACAUAAAACUUUGUCAUGUGGCUCAAUAAUGUUUAGGUAUGAGGCACACAAUGGUAGCUCUCUAACUAAAUUACAAAUUUUAAAGUCAUGAAUAAAAAUAAAGGAACAGAAAUUAUGUUAACUCCUUUUAGUAGCAGUCAGUUUUUAAGCACAACGUUUUUAAACCACAGGACAGAGAACUUGAGAGAGAGAAGCUUUAGGUGAAGCAAGCAAGCUGAAACUGAGGAAAUUCUUCCUGAAAGAAUGAUUUAUUUCUUUCCAAGAAAAUUUGGUUUAUCAAAAUCAAUCAACAAAUGAGGGAACCCAUGGUGUGGUCAUUUACAGCAAUAUUUAAAACCCAACAGAUUUCUCUUUCCCAUCUAGCAUGCUUCUGUCUAACCUCUCAUCAUUAGUUGGAAGGGAGACUUACCUAACGGGUGAAUUUGGGAGAAGGAGCUAAGCAGUGCUUAUGUGUUUCUGAAUCUCCUCUUUGAAAAGAUGUGCCUGCCCACAGUAACAUGAAUUUGUGUCUGCUCUCAGCUCUGCGAAAGAGAAGAGCAGUGUUACUUGCAGCCUACCCAGUGUCACCUGUCACAGCUCCACCAAGAAAAAUGACUAGACAACACUUACAGAAACAUUCUCUUCUUCAUUGACUUCAUAACUAAUGUACAUUGUUCAAAAGCAACGCCCACUCAAAAGAGAGAAAAAGUUGAAAGAAACCAUUUUAGAAACAAACAUAGAAAGUCAGACAAACUGAGGACACAGAGGAAUACCUUCCAAAUGAAAGAACAUGACAAAACCUAAGAAAAAAAAAACUAACAAAACUAAGAAAAAAAACUAAGAAAAAAAAACAGAGAUAAGUGAUGUACCUCAUAAAGAGUUCAAGGUAAAGGUCAUAAAGAUGCUCAGUGAACUUGGGAGGAGAAUGAAUGGAUCCAGUGAUAACAUCAACAAAGAGAUAGAAAAUAUAAAAAAGAACCAAUCAGAGCUGAAGGAUACAAUAAGAGAAAUGACAAAUACACUAGAGGGAAUCAACAGCAGGUACAAAGAUGCAGAAGAACAGAUCAACAAUUUGCAAGACAGGGUAGUAGAAAUCAUCCAAGAUGAAAAACAAAAAGAAAAAAGAACUUUAAAAAUGAGACUAGGUUAAGGGACCUGUGGGACAACAUCCAGUGUAAUAAUACUUGCAUUCAAGGGGUUCCAGAAAAAGAAAAGAGAAAGGGGCAAAGAACUCAUUUGAAGAAAUAAAAGCUUCAUUUUAAAAAUUCAAA